rnacentral:lncRNA from 1 species
AAAAUAGCAGGCACACACAAGUUCAAUGCCCAAUCAAGUUGUGUCACUCUCUUCAAAAUCUCAGUGCCAGAAUAUAGCCGCCAUCUCAACACCAGCUAAAGCAGAUAAGAGGGGGGAGCUCUUCAAUUCAGUUUGAUCAAUUAAUGGCAAGCUGUAAUGAUAUUCACGAAAGCAAGGAGCAUAUCAGCAAGGAAGUUGUAGUAAUAGUGGUGCCACUUCCAGCCCAGGGCCACCUCAAUCAGCUUCUGCAACUAUCCUGCCUCUUAUCUUCCUAUGGCCUCCAGGUUCACUUUGUCAGUUCUGCCAUCUACAACCGCCAAGCCAAACUCCGUGCAAAUGGCCUGGAUAUGGACAAACUCCAUUUCCACGAUCUUCCAACACCUGCUUUUCAAUCACCUCCUCCGAAUCCCAACUCGACUAAUAAGUUCCCAACACAGCUGCAGCCGGCCUGGUAUGCCAUGUUGAGCCUACGCCAACUGGUGGCUGAAUACGUAGAACACAUGUCCAAGCAAGCAAAAAGAGUUGUCAUUAUUCAUGACCCAGUUAUGGCUGCGGUUGUUCAGGAGGCGAUUCCUAAUGCAGAAUCCUAUGCUUUCAACUGUGUUGCAGCUUAUUAUCAAUCCUCUUUUCAAUGGGAAUCCCUGGGAAAACCAUUCCCUAUUGAACAACCAAAAAAUUUACCCUCUUUCGAAGGAUGUGUCCCAGAUGAAGUCUUUGAAUUUGUAGCUUUACAGGAAGAGCCAUUGAAAGAUAGAGCAGGGUAUUUGUACAAUACUUGUAGAGCCAUAGAAGGGCCUUUUGUUGAUCUAUUAGAAAGGGAAGAGGUUGCUGAGAAUAGAAAAUUAUGGGCAAUUGGACCAAUUCUUCCAUCAAAAUCCUUAUCUGCUAAUAGCCAACACAAAUGUUUGGAGUGGCUUGACAAACAAGCUCCAAAAUCCGUCAUCUAUGUAUCGUUCGGGACGAUGACUUCAUUGUCGGACGAAGAAAUCAAAGAGCAGGCAAUAGGAUUAGAACAGAGCAAACAGAAGUUCAUUUGGGUGCUGAGGGACGCCGAUAAAGGAAACGUGUUCGACGGUGAAGUUAGACGACCUGAAUUACCAGACGGAUUCGAGGAAAGAGUCGUAGAGUUUGGGAUGGUGGUGAGAGAUUGGGCACCACAGCCAGAAAUUCUUUCCCAUCCAUCAACUGGUGGAUUCAUGAGCCAUUGUGGCUGGAAUUCAUGCUUAGAAAGCAUUACCAUGGGAGUGCCAAUUGCAGCCUGGCCUAUGCAUUCUGACCAACCAAGAAACGCUGUGCUCAUAACAGAAAUACUGAAAACAGGUAUCUCGAACCACCAUAUUUAAAAGUUUAAAUAAAUUAUUACAGAACAGACAAAUUUAUUCAUUUAUAUUUUGUGUUCAAACAGGUCUCAUUGUGAGGGAAUGGGAACGGAGGGAGGAACUGGUGAAGGCUUCCACUAUUGAGAAUGUUGUGAGAAGAUUAAUGGCAUCGGAAGAAGGAAAUACGCUGCGAAAACAGGCUGAGGAGUUGGCUGCUGUCGUUAGACGGUCAACUGAGGAAGGCGGCACAUCUAAAGCUGAAUUAGAUUCAUUUAUUGCCCAUAUUACUAGACAGAAUAUGGAUAGUGUCUCUCCAACAUCAAGUUCCAUUCCCAGUUCCUCCACAGGUUGUAACAUUUCGUCUCAUGCCUCUGGUGCUUGAAGAAUUCAGUUCUUUUAAUGAACAGAACCCAUUUCCUUUCCAGCAAGGUGUGUUCAAUGUAAUUGAUUGGUAACAAGAGAAAUUUUCAUUUCCAUUUGUACCGAUGUUCAUUUCAUGGUCUGAGUACUCAAAUCAUCCAACUUGACUAAGUAGGUCGAACCGAAUGUGUCUUUCAAAGAUAAAACAUAUGAUAAUAACUGUAGCUGAAUUAUAUUUUGAUCUAAAAUGAUCAUAUCAUAAGUUAAAUGUUUCAACACCCAUUGAACUUUGGCUAAUAUGAUAGUUUACUUAUCAAAGUUCACAAUGUUUUCCACUGGCCACUCAGUUUAAACUUUUGCACUCCAUCAUUCAUCAAAC